UACGGAGGGGGCUAGCGUUGUUCGGAAUUACUGGGCGUAAAGGGCGCGUAGGCGGCUUGGUAAGUCGGGGGUGAAAGUCAGCGGCUCAACCGCUGGACUGCCUUCGAGACUGCCUGGCUUGAGCAUGGUAGAGGCUGGCGGAAUUCCCGGUGUAGCGGUGGAAUGCGUAGAGAUCGGGAAGAACAUCGGUGGCGAAGGCGGCCAGCUGGGCCAUUGCUGACGCUGAUGCGCGACAGCGUGGGGAGCAAACAGG
rnacentral:rRNA from 1 species